UUAGUUACCUGGUGCCGAGCUCCUGAUGAUCAUUCAGGUCGGUUCUCCGUACCGAGGCUAGCCAUUGCAUUAUAGUUGUCUGAGCACGCGACUACCCCAAACCUGGGUCAGAUGGGACAUGUAAUUCUUAGUAGUGGGGCUCGGCGGGCGCACCAGCCCCUU
rnacentral:snRNA from 1 species